rnacentral:rRNA from 1 species
AGUGAACGCUGGCGGUAGGCCUAACACAUGCAAGUCGAACGGCAGCACAGUAAGAGCUUGCUCUUACGGGUGGCGAGUGGCGGACGGGUGAGGCAUACAUAGGAAUCUACUAUUUCGUGGGGGAUAACGUAGGGAAACUUAUGCUACUAGCGAAUACGAUCUACGGGAGAAAGCAGUAGAGCUUCGCAGCUUGCGUGUUUGAAUGAGCUGAUGUCGGAUUAGCUAGUUGGCGGGGUAAAGGCACACCAAGGCGACGAUGCGUAGCUGAUCUGAGAGGAUGAUCAGCCACACUGGAACUGAGACACGGUCCAGACUCCUACGGGAGGCAGCAGUGGGGAAUAUUGGGCAAUGGGCGAAAGCCUGAUCCAGCCAUGCCGCGUGAGUGAAGAAGGUCUUCGGGUUGUAAAGCCCUGUUGUUGGGAAAGAAAAGCAGCAGAAGAAAACCUCGCUGUUCUGACGGUACCCAAAGAGAAAGCACCGGCUAACUACGUG